rnacentral:rRNA from 1 species
CAAUCAAGUGCCUUAAGGGUGUUCGGUGGAUGCCUUGGCGCUGAGAGGCGAUGAAGGACGUGCUACGCUGCGAUAAGCCGUGGGGAGCUGCGAAGAAGCUUUGAUCCGCGGAUUUCCGAAUGGGGAAACCCACCUUCGAUAGCCGGAACUCCAAGACCUUAGGUUUUGGGGUUUGACCAGAAAUGAUCGGGACCAUGACCGCAAGGUUUUGGAUUUCCGGUUAUCAAGAGAAGGUAUGAGACUUCUGAAUACAUAGGAGGUUUCAAGCAAACCCAGGGAACUGAAACAUCUAAGUACCUGGAGGAAAGGACAUCAACAGAGACUCCGUUAGUAGUGGCGAGCGAACGCGGACCAGGCCAGUGAUACAUCAAAGACAAUCGGAACCAGUCAGGAAAGCUGGGCCUCAGAGGUGAUAGCCCCGUACGAGUAAUGCGAUGAUGUAUCCACGAGUAAGCGG